rnacentral:rRNA from 1 species
GCCCAGACUCCUACGGGAGGCAGCAGUGGGGGAUAUUGCACAAUGGGGGAAACCCUGAUGCAGCGACGCCGCGUGGGUGAAGAAGCGCCUCGGCGCGUAAAGCCCUGUCAGCAGGGAAGAAAAUGACGGUACCUGAAGAAGAAGCCCCGGCUAACUACGUGCCAGCAGCCGCGGUAAUACGUAGGGGGCAAGCGUUAUCCGGAUUUACUGGGCGUAAAGGGAGCGCAGGCGGCGCGCCAAGUCUGAUGUGAAACCCCGGGGCUCAACCCCGGGCAUGCAUUGGAAACUGUCAGGCUAGAGUGUCGGAGAGGCAAGUGGAAUUCCUAGUGUAGCGGUGAAAUGCGUAGAUAUUAGGAGGAACACCAGUGGCGAAGGCGGCUUGCUGGACGAUGACUGACGUUGAGGCUCGAAAGCGUGGGGAGCAAACAGGAUUAGAUACCCGGGUA